CAUAUUUUAAAGCCGUUUCCAUUUCGUAAUAUGACUUGGCAACAACGUAUAUUCAAUUAUCGCCUAAGCAGAGCACGAAGAGUUGUGGAGAACGCAUUUGGGAUAUUAACAAAUCGUUUUCGUGUAUUAUUGAACAUUAUAAGUUUGGACCCAAGUCCCCAAAUGGUUAUGAUGUUAAGGAACAGAACAUUGAUAGGCGAUUCACAUUUAAGUACACCUUAAGUCGACAAGCAGGCAACAGGUCAACUGCAUCAGCACUUGAUAAUCGAAAUGAAUUUGUACAAUAUGUAAAUGGUAUAGGAGCAGUAGAAUGGCAAAAUGACUUAGCAUAGCAUUAUUAUUAUCAAUAAACAAAUGUACAAAAUAAAAUCUAAUCAUAUUGAG